UACGGAGGGGGCUAGCGUUAUUCGGAAUUACUGGGCGUAAAGCGCGCGUAGGUGGCCAAUCAAGUCAGAGGUGAAAUCCCAGGGCUCAACCCUGGAACUGCCUUUGAAACUGAAUGGCUAGAAUCUUGGAGAGGUGAGUGGAAUUCCGAGUGUAGAGGUGAAAUUCGUAGAUAUUCGGAAGAACACCAGUGGCGAAGGCGACUCACUGGACAAGUAUUGACACUGAGGUGCGAAAGCGUGGGGAGCAAACAGG
rnacentral:rRNA from 1 species